rnacentral:rRNA from 1 species
GAUGAACGCUGGCGGCGUGCCUAAUACAUGCAAGUCGAGCGAACAGACGAGGAGCUUGCUCCUCUGACGUUAGCGGCGGACGGGUGAGUAACACGUGGAUAACCUACCUAUAAGACUGGGAUAACUUCGGGAAACCGGAGCUAAUACCGGAUAAUAUAUUGAACCGCAUGGUUCAAUAGUGAAAGACGGUUUUGCUGUCACUUAUAGAUGGAUCCGCGCCGCAUUAGCUAGUUGGUAAGGUAACGGCUUACCAAGGCGACGAUGCGUAGCCGAACUGAGAGGGUGAUCGGCCACACUGGAACUGAGACACGGUCCAGACUCCUACGGGAGGCAGCAGUAGGGAAUCUUCCGCAAUGGGCGAAAGCCUGACGGAGCAACGCCGCGUGAGUGAUGAAGGUCUUCGGAUCGUAAAGCUCUGUUAUUAGGGAAGAACAAAUGUGUAAGUAACUAUGCACGUCUUGACGGUACCUAAUCAGAAAGCCACGGCUAACUACGUG